rnacentral:sRNA from 1 species
CCCCCUGGGUCGCUUCCACACCAAGAAGGACAUCAAGGCGGCUGUGCGGAAUAUGUCCUACAUGGAGAAGGGCACAAUGACUGGGGCUGCUCUCAAGUACCUCAUUGACAAUUCCUUCACUGUGUCCAGUGGGGCUAGGCCCAGAGCCCAGAAGGUGGGCAUUGUCUUCACUGAUGGCCGGAGCCAGGACUACAUUAAUGAUGCCGCCAAGAAGGCCAAAGACCUCGGCUUUAAGAUGUUUGCUGUGGGUGUGGGCAAUGCCGUGGAGGAUGAGCUGAGGGAAAUAGCCUCAGAACCUGUGGCAGAGCACUACUUCUACACGGCUGACUUCAAGACCAUCAACCAGAUAGGCAAGAAGUUGCAGAAGAAGAUCUGUGUGGAGGAAGACCCGUGUGCCUGCGAGUCCCUGGUGAAAUUCCAAGCCAAAGUGGAGGGGCUGCUGCAGGCCCUGACCAGGAAACAUAUCCCUUCCCAGAGGUGGCUGGGGCCGGGGAGGGGUGCAGGGCAGUGUUGGGGGAGGCGGGGACAUGGCCCAAGUGUGGUCGGUUGGACAGGCUUCUCUUGGCCUGCUUACUGCUGAUGGGCUGCAUUCUGGCAGAAUAGGCUGAAGCCAGCUUGGGUGCAGACCCUGUCAAAAGCAGAGACACCUAGAGGGUAAACAGAGAAAUUGAGGCAGAAGCCAGGAUCUAGGAAUGGACACACACCAGAGUCCUGGACAUGCUCUGAAGAACAUGGAGCCUGUGGAUGCCCCAUUUCUCAGGCUCAUGGUGACGUGCCUGACCCCAGUAACCACUCAGAGGUGGGGCUGGGCCCCAGACAGUUCCCCUGGCUCAACCAGGACUAGGUGGGGGAUCCAGCAGGGCUAAAUCUGCAACUGAGCAGGGCUGGGCACUCGCGGCUCACAGUAACUGGCUGUGUUUUUUGGAAAGCACCAUUCUGAG